AAUUACUCGUCAAACUUUUUGGCUCUCUCUUCUCUCGUCACUAUUCUCUCUUCUUUGUUCUUUCUCUUUCUUUCUUCUUCUUCUCCGACUUGAGUUUUUCGGCGAUAGGAGACGAGAAGCCGGCGAUUGUGCUGGCCAUUGGUGAAAGAGAUCGCGAGCGUUUGAUUCCCGUCACUGAUUUCGGCGACAAAGACGCAAUCCAGCCACGAGGUCUCGAGAUAAGCAGAGGAAAGAGGCGUUGAAGAUUUGGUGCAAGCUGCUACUCCGUGGUCACAACUCCACACCAAGUAUCCUCUCACAUCGUGCAUCGUUCCUGCAAAUCAAUCAAACAGUUAAACUUCGUUUUCAGGUUAGAAGAAGAAUCAAAAAGAGGGUUAAAGAUCAUGGCAUAUUUGUUCUUGCUCCUUGGAUCCUUGUUCUUCAACUCUUUGUGGCAGUGAUUGCAAUUGUGGGAUUCUAUUCUCAAGCUGUUCGUCUAGUUGCAAAUGCAGAAGUGACUGCACCAACAAGCCCAUUCCAACAACGACAUAUCAAGAAGAUGAAGUUAGUUCAGGAGCUAUGAUGUCAAGCAUCUACAAGAAAGAAGAAUAGGUUCUCAUAUAUUACAUACUGUGGAGAAAACACAACACGUUUGGAUAUUGAAUUCUAUGAAUCUGAUAAUUAAAUAAAUCUCAAGCUUCUUAAUUCCCUUAGUGUGAUGUUUUUUAAUGGAAUGUCAAUUUCUUCUUGUUCGUAUAAUUUCUUAUGUUUAACGUUUGCAAACAAGUUUUAUUAUUAUGAUAAUUAAAUAAAACAGAUCUUGUUUUUCUGUAAA